AGCACCGGCUAACUCCGUGCCAGCAGCCGCGGUAAUACGGAGGGUGCAAGCGUUGUCCGGAAUUAUUGGGUGUAAAGGGUGCGCAGGCGUCCCGAAAAGUUUUCAGUGAAAUCUUCCGGCUUAACCGGAGAAGUGCCGGAAAAACUUUCGGGAUUGAGUUCAGAAGAGGUUGGUGGAAUUCGUGGUGUAGCGGUGAAAUGCAUAGAGAUCACGAAGAACACCGGUGGCGAAAGCGGCCAACUGGUCUGACACUGACGCUGAGGCACGAAAGCGUGGGUAGCGAACAGGAUUAGAUACCCUGGUAGUCCACGCUGUAAACGAUGUAUGCUAGUUGUUGGCUCUUCGGAGUCAGUGACGUAGUUAACGCGCUAAGCAUACCACCUGGGGAGUACGUUCGCAAGAAUGAAACUCAAAGGAAUUGACGGGGGCCCGCACAAGCGGUGGAGCAUGUGGCUUAAUUCGAUGCAACGCGAAGAACCUUACCCGAGCUAAAUCUACUUUGACCGCUUCUGAAAGGAAGCUUCCCUUCGGGGCAGAGUAGAAGGUGUUGCAUGGCUGUCGUCAGCUCGUGCCGUGAGGUGUUGCCUUAAGUGGCGCAACGAGCGCAACCCCUGUGGUUAGUUACCAGCGCGUAAUGGCGGGGACUCUAGCCAGACUGCCUACGCAAGUAGUGAGGAAGGUGGGGACGACGUCAAGUCAUCAUGGCCCUUACGUUCGGGGCUGCACACGUGCUACAAUGGAUGGUCCAAUGGGAAGCAAGCGUGCGAGCGCAAGCAGAUCCCUAAAACCAUUCCCAGUUCGGAUUGGAGUCUGCAACUCGACUCCAUGAAGAUGGAAUCGCUAGUAAUCGCGUAUCAGCAAUGUCGCGGUGAAUACGUUCCCGGGCCUUGUACACACCGCCCGUCAAGCGAUGGAAGUUGGGAGUACCUGACUCAAUCGGGCCAACUCCUUUUGGAGAGGCAGGUUGAUAAGGUAAGCCUUGCAACUGGCGCUAAGUCGUAACAAGGUAGCC
rnacentral:rRNA from 1 species